rnacentral:sRNA from 1 species
UGAGUGCACUCGACUGGUUGAUGCGAUC